GACGAACGCUGGCGGCGUGCCUAACACAUGCAAGUCGAACGGACCGAAUUAGAGCUUGCUCUGAAGAGGUUAGUGGCGGACGGGUGAGUAACGCGUGAGUAACCUGCCUAUAAGAGGGGGAUAACGUCUGGAAACGGACGCUAAUACCGCAUAACAUUUUUGUAUCGCAUGAUACAGAAAUCAAAGGAGAAAUCCGCUUAUAGAUGGACUCGCGUCCGAUUAGCUAGUUGGUGAGGUAACGGCUCACCAAGUCGACGAUCCAUAGCCGGACUGAGAGGUUGAACGGCCACAUUGGGACUGAGACACGGCCCAG
rnacentral:rRNA from 1 species